ensembl:lncRNA
GCCACAGAGUGUGGGCCAUCUCAGAAGGCAAGAGGCCCCAGAAAAUGGGGUGGUUAGUUUUUUAUAAGCUGGAUAAUUAGUGGGAGGCUUCCCAGGUGGCUCAGUGAGGCUGUGCCCUGCCCUCUUCUCUCCUGUUUCAAAGGCAUUCACAGGCCUCAGGCCCUGAACAAGAUCUGAGCUUCAGAAGGCAUCUCUGCAGGCUGCCAGCUCCGAGAGCAGCCGCAUGUGUCUGAAACCACCGAAUCAGAAAGGUGUCAUAAAUGAAAUCUCUACAGGAGUCCUUGGAGCCUGGCUCCCUGCCCAGAAUGCCAAGGGCCCCAGGAGGAGGCUUCUGCCAGUCACAUGAGCAGCUUGGCUCUCCCAGCUGACGGGUGCUUCUCCCGGAGGGUCUAAGAUGUGCCAGGUGGAUUCUUAACCACUGAGCCACCUGGGAAGCUUGGUUUUGCCUACUGAACGUCACGUCAGUGGAAACAUACAGUCUGUAUGCU